GCUCCAGUGACCUAGUGGUUAGAGAAUCUGCCUCAGAUGCAGGGGUUAUGGGUUAGAUCCCUGGUUUGAGUCA